AUGAACUUGAUUGAAGAGGAGGUACAGGAACAUAGGGGAGCAGCAGUUCUCAGAUUUGAGGCAAGAUGGCUGAGAGAAACAAAAUUUCGUGAAGUUGUAGAAGAGGCUUGGCUUGCUUCAGGACCGGGCGCCCAGAAUGUUGAUCUGGCAACACGUUUGGCGCAGGUGCAUGACCAUUUACAUCGGCGGGAUAGAACUGUGCUAAAAAAGAGUUCAAAACAUAUGAAGAAGAUCCAGACCAAGCUGGAAACAGUGGCAAGAAGUGACUUGUCACCGGAAAAUGUUAUGAAACAAAAAGAGCUUACAGAGGAAGUUGAAAGAUUAUUAGAACUGGAAGAGAUCCAUUGGGUUCAGCGGUGCGGUCUGGAUUGGCUGAAGUUUGGUGAUAAAAAUACAAACUAUUUCCAAAACUAUGCAUUAGCCGGCAAAAAGAGAAACAUAAUACAUAAGUUGAAGAAUGACCAAGGGGCAUGGCAGGAGGGCACUGCUUACCUAAACCCUCUCAUUUCUGAUUAUUUUGCGCGGCUCUUUGCAACAGAAAUGGAUGAACCAAAUCCAACGCUUCUCCAAAAAGUCCAAGCACGGGUUACUGAUGAGAUGAAUGAAGCUAUUUUGAAGCCAUUUUCGGCAGAGGAGGUGAAGAAGGCACUUUCUCAAUUGGCGAUCUAA
rnacentral:rRNA from 1 species